rnacentral:rRNA from 1 species
AUUGAACGCUGGCGGCAGGCCUAACACAUGCAAGUCGAGCGGAGUGGCGGACGGGUGAGUAAUGUCUGGGAAACUGCCUGAUGUAGGGGGAUAACUACUGGAAACGGUAGCUAAUACCGCAUAAUAUCAGAUGAGCCUAGGUCGGAUUAGCUAGUUGGUGGGGUACAGGCCUACCAAGGCGACGAUCCGUAACUGGUCUGAGAGGGUGAUCAGUCACACUGGAACUGAGACACGGUCAAGACGCCUACGGGAGGCAGCAGUGGGGAAUAUUGGACAAUGGGCGAAAGCCUGAUCCAGCCAGGCCGCGUGUGUGAAGAAGGUCUUCGGAUUGUAAAGCACUUUAAGUUGGGAGGCGUUACCAACAGAAUAAGCACCGGCUAACUUCGUGCCAGCAGCCGCGGUAAUUC